AUCUGUUAUACUCACAGACAUUAUUCAGAGUGUUUUCUAUCCAAAUCUACUAAUAAUAUGCAUAUCUUAUAUUCUUGGCAUGAGUUGCAGGAAGUUGAAAUUGGGCACGCUAUUUAUCCAAAUUGAAAAUGCUACCCCCAAUACCUUAAGAAGUGAAACAAAUAUAUGUAUUUGCAGAUAGACUCAAAGCUCAAUCACUGACGGUUACUAUCAGAGAGUCACACAUAGCCUGGUCUUAGAUCGGUAUGGUCUUGAACCAACUACAUGCCAUGAUUAGUCAGGAGAUAUGUUUAAAGCACAUAAAGAUAUGAUCUGGGACCAGGCUAAAACAUUUACAUGUACAUUUUUGUCAUUUAGCAGACACUCAUAUCCAGAGCAUAGUUUCACAUAGUUUGCAAUGUAUAACUAAUGACGAAAUGUGUAGGAUAUUAUUUUGGAGAGAAUAAAGAGUGCAGCUAUGCUUCAGAAGUGUAUUCAAUCAUACAAGUGCUGAAUAUGAAACAGAUAAACACAAUAAAUCACACAACAGAUCUGCUCAUUUUACUGAUGUUUAUUUAGCCAUGUACUCAAACAAGAAUUUUUACUUUAAAAUAAGAUAUUGGAGUGUGUGUUCGAUCAAUGCUAGAAAAUUACAACUCGUAUUCAAAGUAGAUUAACUUAGAUCAGGAAAUGAACAAUUUAGUAAAAUGUUCAAAAUGCACAUUAAUAUGAAUUAUUCACAUCCUCUUUAGGAAAAUACAGAAAGAUACAAAGAGAUUAGCUCUAUAACAGUGUUCAAACUAGGGAAGAACUAUACUAGGGAAGAACUAUAUCUGAAAUACAUGAUGUAUAGAUGUGGCUACGUGAUGCCAACCUGGACUGUAUGUUACAAAUUCCAAUUUGUUGUGGCUAACAUUAGCUGGGUUAGGGGAAGGAUGCUAUGUUGUUGCAAAGUUGUCAGUGAUAUGAUAGAAACACCUUUGGAUAACAGAGUGAAUAGCUACUAUUCAUACUCAUUCAGUGGAUAUUGAACUACCGUGAUUCUGUUUUAGGAUGAUUUACAUAAUUUUCAACAUCAUUAUGAUUACAUCAUCAGCAGUGAGGCUUAUGAAAUUACCCAUUGAAUGUUUCCCCUUGGCAUUGAAACCGUAUAACCCUAGCUUAUGAGAGACAGAGGAGUUAGCUAAAGCAAUUGUAAUUUAGCAGACAAUGUUAUACAGA
rnacentral:lncRNA from 13 species